GGGGGAUAUUGCACAAUGGGGGAAACCCUGAUGCAGCAACGCCGCGUGAGUGAAGAAGUAUUUCGGUAUGUAAAGCUCUAUCAGCAGGGAAGACGAUGACAGUACCUGACUAAGAAGCCCCGGCUAACUAC
rnacentral:rRNA from 1 species